AACGAACGCUGGCGGCAUGCCUAACACAUGCAAGUCGAACGAGACCUUCGGGCUUAGUGGCGCACGGGUGCUUAACGCGUGGUAACCUGCCCUUAGGUUCGGUAUAACUCCCUGAAGGGGGUGCUAAUACCGGUUAAGGUCAUCCGACCAAAGAUUUAUCGCCUUUGGAUGGGCCCGCGUUGGAUUAGCUAGUUGGGAGGGUAAAAGCCUACCAAGGCGACGUUCCAUAGCUGGUCUGGGAGGAUGAUCAGCCACACUGGGACUGAGACACGGCCCAGACUCCUACGGGAGGCAGCAGUGGGGAAUAUUGGACAAUGGGCGAAAGCCUGAUCCAGCAAUGCCGCGUGAGUGAUGAAGGCCUUAGGGUUGUAAAGCUCUUUUACCCGGGAUGAUAAUGACAGUACCGGGAGAAUAAGCUCCGGCUAACUCCGUG
rnacentral:rRNA from 1 species